GACGGAGGAGGCUAGCGUUGUUCGGAAUUACUGGGCGUAAAGCGUGCGCAGGCGGCUUGGCAAGUCAGGGGUGAAAGCCCGGGGCUCAACCUCGGAACUGCCUUUGAGACUGCCAGGCUGGAGACCGAGAGAGGAGAGUGGAAUUCCCAGUGUAGAGGUGAAAUUCGUAGAUAUUGGGAAGAACACCAGUGGCGAAGGCGGCUCUCUGGCUCGGUACUGACGCUCAUGCACGAAAGCGUGGGGAGCAAACAGG
rnacentral:rRNA from 1 species